GAGAGAGCGAGAGAGAGAGAGCGAGAGAGAGGAAACGCAGAGAACAGAGAAGAGAUGGAGAUGGUCGAGAGAGGAGAAGAUGCGACGACCGGUCACCACCACUAUCCUUUCUCACACCCUUGAUUGAACCUCGUUAGGCGUCAGAGAAGGUAAACGGGUCUGAUAGAGAUGUGUCGGAGAAGACAUGGGAAGAGGCUCGUCGGUUCCGUCGCACUCCCUUCGAUUGAGUCGCAGUCUUUUACCACCAACACGGUCACUUCUCUAUUUGCCUGUCUAUCUCUCUCUCUCUCUCUGUGUUUUGAAUCUGUUUUUUUUUUGUUCAUGGGCAGAGCUGGUGGUCGUGAGCAGAGGAGACAAUAUAUGGUGGUAUGCAGGACUGGAAUUAAUUACAUACAUGAAUCUGUUUAUAUUCAUUGGAGCUCUGAUAAAUUACAUUCUGGUGAUGGGAGUUUGAAGCGUCAAUGGAAUUGGAGUCGGGAAAUAUAGAAGAGAAGAGAUGGAGUUGGUUCAGAGGCAAGGGAAGAGAUACAGAUAAGAAGUUUGAUGGGGGUGGAAGAGUAGAGAUUGAUGCGGUUGACGGCGGCGAAGAGUUGGUGCAGAGAUAGGAUUUUUUUUUUUUUAGGUUAAGCUGGUUUAGUAUUUUUUUUAAAUUUCUAAACCGGGUUUAUGUGUAAACCUUAGGUUAAUUACAGUUUGGUUUAAUGUUUUUAAUUUGUUUAUGGUAUAAUGUAUUCUUUAAUUAUUUGCAUA